rnacentral:sRNA from 1 species
CCUGAUUCCCACCCAGAUCACCGGCAGGGACGGGGGAACCAUUUCCCGGAUGAGAACGAGCCCGCGCUCGGUCCUCCUUGGGGUGAAUCCCGCCUCGGCGGGUAGGGCGUCUCCAGCCCGAACCCGACAGCUAACCUCGACGGCUCUCCAGGAGAAAAA